CCUUAAAAAUCUGGCCAGUGCUGUUGCUAAAUCCCUCUUUGUUUCUUUGGGCAAGCCCUGUCUAUGCUCAGACCAAGGCAAGCGAGUCUCGCCUUCCCUGGCUGGUGAGUCACAGGACCGACAUUUAAGUGCCUACUAUGCACGGCGACGCCGUGUGGUCUCUACACCGUGGAAACCUCAGCGUCUCCCCGGGCCCCCUUGGAGUCUGGCCGCUCUUCCUGCCGCCUGUGACAAGAGCAGACAGUAUAUGAUGCGUUAUUCUCUUAGCCACCCCUUUCUGCCUUUCAGUCUCGCCCAGACUUGAACUAUUUUGACACACAGAAAACACGGUAAACCUAAAGAUGUCAUUUGAAAAACAGCCCAGAGUUGUUUGGCAUUUCCGUCCAACUCCCCAGGAUGACAGGGAGGGUGAAUCUGCAGCUGAGAGUUGAUUCUGCCUCGUGCUUUUUUCUUUUUCCUUCCUUCCUAGAAGUUGCCAGGGCCUAGCUGAAUCAUGGGGCACUUCUUGUCAGAGCUGGUUGGAUUUCUGGUCCCCUUGGCCACCCAGCCCGCCCCCUGUGUGGUGACACGGAGGCACAGACUGGCGGGGACCCAAACGCUGGAUUUAGGUUUGAGUGUCGCAGACGUUCAGCAGAUGGACGUGGAGAGACGGGCCUGGGCCUCGCCGGGAGGGGACCUCAGGCCCAGGGUCCCUGUGCAGAGGGCUGGCCAGGCCUGUCCCCCAAGCCAUUCUGACCCAGGCCCGCUCCUGAGUCCAUCACAAGGCUGAUGGGGUCGGCUUGCUGCUGUGUUUGUCUUGGUUCCAGCAGUUUGGUGGUAGCACGUACAGCUCAAGCCUGCUGGGGAUAGACAGACCAGCCCCGCACUGAGGUCCCUCCGCCACCUGCUCACGCGGCUCCUUUAUCCACCCGAGGAGGAAGCGGGGAGGCCAACAGGACCGGAAAUCCACCUCCUGCCUCCCGGAGGUGACAGGGUAGUGUCGCUCUGGCCACUUGGAUAAUAGGAUAGAUACCUGGCAUUUGGGGAACUGUUUGGGGUAAAAUCAUAGUAAUGAUAAUUUCUUUUAAAGAAAAAUAUUUUUUUUGUCUUGUUCUAUUAAACACCAGCCAUUAGUGUUUUAAAGUGCUUAGAGAAUUCUAUUUGUAGGAUUUUCUAAGGACAAAUAUUGAUGUGUGCACUAGAGAAUUAAGACAAAUGAUAAUUGAAAGGGAUGAUAAAAGCUAGUGGUUUCCUUGGGGAAAUCAUCACCAACUGCUGUCACACUGCCAGUAAGAGCAUUAGUUUAUGUGAAAUGUUUUUUAAACAGCUCGACCAAAGCGUUCAGCCAGAGCGCCUGUGAGGGCAUCUCUCUGCUGCAUGUUUCUACCACAUCUCCACCCGGGACCCUCGCUUACAUUUCUCACUUUCAGCCUCUGGUUCAGGUCAACACUCAGUUGGGAAUGAGAAAUAUCAGACUGCAAGAAGGAUACUGCUUGUGAAGCCUUGCAAGUAAUAAUUUUAUAGUUUUACCACAUUGAGUGCUUCUGUGUUUAAGGUGUCUCUCUAAUGGAGCUCUGGGCUUCCUGCAGAAGGGAGCUUCCCGUCUGUGCCUGGGCUGCCAUAACAAAGUACCACAGGCCGGAGGGCUGGUGGACAGAAAUCAAUGUCCCGGUUCCGGAGGCUGCAAGCCCAAGAUCAGGGCGCCAGCACGGCUGGGCUCUGGACGAGGCCCUCUGGCCGGGCCCUUCUCGCCCCGUCCUCACAUGGCGGGUGGAAGGGGCUGGGGACUCUGGGUCUCCUGUAAGGGUGCUCCACCCUCCCAACCUCAGCAGCCCCACCUCCUAAAACCAUCCGCUUGGUCAUUAGGGUUUUUCAGUAUGAAUAUCCGGGAGGGGGCACACCCAUUUAGACCAUAGCAGUACUGACUGAAGAGCACGUAUACACAUGAAUGGUCCCUUUGUCGUGUCCCCAGAACCUUCCUCACCAUAAAAGGGGGCUUAAGGCAGGUCCUCAGUACUCUGUAGGAGCCCCUGUGCCGAGACACCCACACCUUUCCUGAUCCUGGACAUUGCCCUGCCAGCUGCUGGGGCUUCUCUCUUGCCACCCCCACUUCCCUUGAGCCCCUGCACCCCUUGGAAUCACAGUGAGCUUCUUGGGGGGCUUCCAGGUGGUGGCAACCCAGGUGGGGAGCUCCAAGCUCUAGCAAGGACUUCAUGACUGGUGCUUGCUUUGGACUGGGGGGGUCCCCACUUUUCUUCCAAAUCACUGCCAUUCCCAACCCCUCAUCCACCCCACCACCCUUGCUAAAGGGUCAUCUCUGACCACUGGCCUAUGGGGGCUCCUCAAGUCCACGGAAAGGUGGGAGCCAGCCCUGGGGGUGACAGCUCCACUGGGGUCCCCAACACCCUGGGACACGGGGUGGCGCUGCCCCUCUCCAUCUUCUGGAACUUCAGGCAUGUGCUGCCGUAACAGCAAGGCCAGCCCUUAGGGAGGCACGGAUGUCCGAAGUACUGAGCUGCAGGAACCCUGUGGAUGGGGCGUUUUUCUCCAAGUGGGGGGUGGCCCCGUGUAACAGAAAGCUGGGAGGGGGAGCCCCAUGGGGUCUGGCAGAGUUUGCCUUUGAUGGGAAGAGUCAGACACCCCUGGGCCUUUGCAAUCUCCUGCCAACCUGGGGCCUCACUUGUCUCUGGGUGGCUGACGUGGCCUCGUGCAGCAGCUCCAAGCCGGCUCCUGCCCCCUGUGCAGACGUGCUUGCUUUGCAGGCUGACGCGGCCGCACCACCAGAGGAUGUGCCUGCGUCCUUCCCGCCUCCGCGCCCAGCGCCCCAUCCCCGCACACCCACCCAUGUUUCCGCCUUCCACAGGGUCCCCUUGCGAUGAGGCUUCCAGCAGGGGGUGGCCCUGCUCAGUCCCUGGAUGAAGCCUUGAGAUUCCUGAGACGUGUCAGCACCACCCAGGGGACGUUUUAGGGGCAGGGGGGUUUGGAGCCCUGCAAGGGCCCAGUCGCCCCUCUCAGGGGAGGACUUGUCUGUAAGGGGGUGGGGACUCUGAGGAGUCCUGGGAGGGACCUGAUGGGGACGCGGUUCCCAAGGCCCUGCUGCUCGGGUCCCUGCACCCACCUGGAGGCAGAGACACUGCAUCGCCUCCCCUCCAGACGUGCCAUCAUCCUGCAAUGUAAUGAGUCAUCAACGUGUUUUAAAGAUCCUCUUUAGAAAAUUGCUCUGCAAAACCAUUUGAAACAACAGAUUCUUGACUGUGAGUAGGCGGUCGAGUGUGUCACAGGCAGCCACCAUCUGGAGGCGCAGUUCCCACUUCACGUCUGGAGGGACCCGCCUCCCCCCUCUCCUGUCACAGACGCCUGGCAGAUGGCUGAGGGGGGCCAGAAAGCGGAUGGACAGCGGGCGGCCAGGGCAGGACCUGAAGUCACCCCCCGCUCCCCCACGGCAGCUCCUGCCCGGGUCCGCAGGCCCAGUCCCUGCCCCCAGCAGGCAGAGACAGUCCACGAGGCAGAGCAUGUGGCCCGUGGGCCAGGAGGUUCCGUUCUCAAGUAGCCUGAUGCUGGGGAGAGAGAGACAGCCAGGCAAUCAAGGCCUGGGGAAAAUACGGCCUGAACGAGGGGCUAGUAAAUCGGGAGCUCGGAGAGCCUGCAGGUGCCCGGGUCACCAGGGAGUGGCUGGCGCCGGGGAGCCCCCUGGCCUUCGCCCCCCACUUCUCUGAAACCUCGCUGGCAGCACCGCCCAUCUUUCAUCCGGGAGACGGAAUGUGUUCGCAGACCUCUCAGAGGCUCGGUCCUGGUGAAAGAAUGUCCCUUUCCUCAUAAGAGGCAGACAACAGUGAUUUUAGUAUCUGUCACCUGGACAUGGGGGUGAAAGCUUGUGGGGUUACUCAUGAGCAGUAGGGUGAUAAGUCGAUGGUGCAUUUUACGUAAUUUCAUGUUAUUUUGCUGUUGCAAAUGCAUUCGGUGGACUUACACAGACUUAAUUAAAAUGCUGUGAUUUUAAUUGAAUGGUUUGGUUUUCUGUGAGGGGUAAGAAGCUGGACUCUUCACUGUGACUUUAAGAAGCCCUUAAAUGCCAAGAAAAAAUAUGAGAGGUGUUAAAUUUAGGAAUUUACUUGAGAACUACGGGUUCCACCCCCCAAAAGAAACUGACCAAGAGAAAGCCUCCAAAUUCCCUCUCCUGAGGGUUUCAGCCUGACACCCCUAACUUCCAGAGGCCCACUUACUCAGAAGAAGCCUUGAGCCAUGGAAGGGUCACUGAGCGUCUCUUGGAUUUUUCCCACGAGUUAUGAGCUGAGAGAAGAAAAUUUCUUUUAAAAAGAGCACCCUCUGAUGUCAUCUGAUGUGACCCUGGGUGAUUAAUUCUGCUUCCCUGGUUCUCACUGUUCUGAUCUUGAACAGGAAGAGAUCGAUUAAGUUGCUUCUGAGGUCCCUCCCUGUUUUGUGAGGUUGCACUGUGUAGGAUUGUUAUUAAGUAUUUUUGAGUACCUACUAUGUGCCAGGAACUGUGCUAGGCCCUGGGAUACAGUCUCUGCCCUUGAGCAGCUAACAAACGAGUUGAAAAGAUGAGUAAAGGGACAUGGAAAUAUUUGUCCCACUUAGUGAGUGUGAUGAUAGAGAUUCAGUUGUUGACCCUCACUAGGAUUUUUGUCCUCUGGAAAAACCAAGAUAAGGCAGGUGCAGACCUCACAGUGCAUUUGUAGUCAGGGGUCAUUAUGCCCAGGUAAGGUCCUGUGCUUUUCCCUACUUCUGGGUCCCUGGAAGCCAGCAGGUGGAGGCGCCUCAGAGAUAACACUAAUUGUUUCUUAGCCAGAAUCUUUUCUAACCAUUGCUCCCUCUCUCUGUAAUGCAGAGCUUCUUGGCUGCUUUGGGGGGCAUACGCUUCAUUUAGAACCUGUCUUGACAACGGAAGCCUACAAAACUGGGAGAAUAUUAGAGUCACAAUUAUUCACCGUUAACAGCAGUGAGUCAUAAUGGACAAGGAAAAAAACUCUCUGAAGGCCAGAUGUGAUGAUACCCAACUUGAGGUCAGCAUGGCCCACCAUGGACAUGGAGUACGUCGUUUUGAUCCCAGUGGUAAAUCGCUCACGCUCUGGGGAGCACCUUUCCUAUCGCCUCAUAUCCAUGGACUAG